GGUGUGUUGGCAGAAUAGUGCAAUCGACUUAGGAUCGAUUUAUGGAAUAAUCCACACACUA
rnacentral:tRNA from 1 species